UCAAAGAAGAGUGUAGGAGAGCUUAAAUGAGACCUGUGUGUACUGCUUCAGCCACAUGGGCCUCUUAAGAAGAUGCAGUUAAGGCCUUGCAGCUGAAGGUGCGCCACAGCUGCAGGGCUGAAGACCCAUUGGCUUCCCCUGCAAAGCUGUUAAGGUUAACUCACAGCACUUGCAGCUCUACUGCAGUAGUUAGAGAGAGGUUUGUGGUGUCUCAGAGCUUAGUUUUCCCCCAUAGCACAAGGGUAAAGUUAUCCUUAACUGCCCAGUCAGAUCUACAAGGGGCUGACAAAUUUUGGUCUCGAACAGGGUUUUUGUGAGGGGCAAGAAGGAAAAUUGGUUGUUCUUGUGGAAUCCCUGUUCUUUUGCUUACUUUUUCUACCUCUGAGGAGAGUCAAGCCACCAGAAACACUGCAGGGGAGGGUAUUUAUGUUCUCCCAUGGCAACACAGAUCUGCUGGUCAUGAAACACCUACAGAUGUCAUUCUGAAACUGCCCAGCCUUUAAAAUGGCUGUAAACUCCACGUUGGACAACUUUCAGCACCGUUUUCCAGAAUGAUCAAAUCUAGCUCCGCAGGAAAUUUUACUACCACGACUUUCAUCUCUCUCCUGGUUUGAAGAUAAAUGAUCCUUGGACUCUUCUGGACCUGCAUAAAUCACAAAAGCAAUCUACUAAGAGAGCUGCCUGUGGCACCUACUUCAGCUGGAAUUGAAAAAGGACAGUCAAAAAUAUCCACGGAAUGUCCCAUGAGGGUCCAACCUGAUGGUGAUGACACCCAAAGCACCAGCGACGACGCACAAGGUGAAACCCCCCCCGUGCUCUGCUCUCACUUGAGAGAUACUGCGUGGUGGCACCAGCACCCAGCUCCUGCACCACCAGAACAAACAUGCCUGGAGUCGGGCUGCCGGCUGCGUUGAGACUGGAAGUCCUCUGCAAAAAGCACUGCGGCAUCCCUCGGCCAUUGGUGGCAGUGCUACAGAGCGGGUUGCCCCUUCCACAGAGGCAGACCACAGAUUGAGAAGAGCUGACUGCCCUUCCGGUAGCAGCAAUGCAAUUACGCUGCUCAGAGCGAGGGAGAAAAACACUGGCUGAUUUGCUUUGCGUCAUGUUCUGUUAACCUCAGAAUUAACCUUGCUGGACACAGAUCUGUUAACUUUUACCAUGCUCCCCCAAUUAAUCUGCUGAAGUCUGGGACAGAAAUAGCUAUCCACAGCUGUUACGAAUUGAUAUGUUCCCUGAUGAUGCUUGGCACUGCCUUCAGAAAAAAAGAAAAGUUUCUGAUUUUAUUCUUUGCUAUGAAAUUAACUUUUUUUUCCUAUUUUUAUUAUUUCUAAUGCUCUUUCUUUGCAAACUGAUGGCCUCAGACUGCUCGGCUUUGCUUUGAUUGGAAUGGAAGGCAGACUUGCUACUUGAGGACACCCCAUAAUGCGUGCAUCUAGAGGAGAGAUUACAAGUUGCACCAUCAGCAGCCAAGCAAGGUCUGAGCCACAAGGAAAGAUCUGAGUCAUCUCCCCGAGAGAGUAUUUUAGCCAUACAUCAUUGUUUGUUUUCAGGCAAACCAGUACAAUUAUGCAACAUAAAUUCUUUUAAAGCAUUUGGGACUUCAGUUCAAUUUAAAAUCCUGUAGGUUUUAUGGCCGGGAUGAGUGAUUACAAAGCGUGUGCAUACAAAUGAAGACUUAGGAAGAAGCGUGUGGGGAGGAUGAAAGGGCGCGCGGAGCCUCGUGCGCUCGCUGGGCAAGCUCCGGCCAGGCUGCAACAAAGGGUGGGAGAUCUGAAGGGCCCACGUCAAAGGCAGGUUAUGAUAUUUAUGGCUCUGGAGCAUGGUUUCACUCACCCAGUGCCACGAGCAUUUUCUGUGAUUGCGAUCUCCUACAAAUGCUUUUCUAUGGGCUUCAGCAGAGCCAGGUGACUUUGCCUGGAUUACCUCCUGAUUUAUGCUGCCUUGAAUGGGGAUGAGAAUAUGAUCUAUUUAAAAACAAGACUCGGCUAUAACAGAAAUAGAGGGAGGCAUUAAAAUGUCUGCCAUCUGAAUAUUUCAUCACUCCGGGAAAGUGCUAAGCAGGGGCUUCAGGCUCAGAUGCCAUCCUUGGGCAAAAGGACAGGGUGGUGGUGGGGACACUGAGCCCACCCGUCCCCUUGCCAUGUCACCAAGUUCCCGUGGGGAAAUCAGAGCCGUGGCUGAGCUGCUUUUACCCCAGUCCCUUCCUCCUUUCCCUCCCAAAGCAGAACUGCUUAAAGAUGUGGUGCUUGCUGCCCUGCAAGCUCAGCCUCCACCACACAGCCCCAGGAGCUGCAGACCCAGGCGGGGAACCAGGACCUAGAGGCACAACGAGCAGAAAGCAAAGAUCCCACAGCUUGGAUUAAUGUGCUUUCUUUGAGACAUACUGUCAUGGUUUUUGGAGGCCUGGCAGUUAGAUUAGUUUGCAGUGCCAGCUACCUAUUUAUUUAUUUCUUCUUCUGUACAGAGGAGUGGAGUCUACAGUGUUUUGUUCCCUCUCUCUUAUUUAGGUGAACAUACAGAUAGGCUUGUGUCUCCGUAUUCCACUUUUACUUACACAGAUGUAAAUUCCACUGCAGCAGGAGGGAUUAUUGACAGCGGAUCUGAGACAAUCCAAGGCCAGACUCUGACCUAUUGAUUUUGCCAAGAUUGCACAGGACGUAUGUAGUUCAUUGCAGAAUACAGUCUUUGUUUGUUUUGUUUAUUGCUCAAUAUAUAACAAUGUGGAAUAAAGAACGACGCCAAACUGCAGAAAUGCCUGAGGAUUUCUCUUUAAUUGAAAUCAGGACUGGGAUCAGGACUCCUUGUAAAUCAAGAGCAGUCAGCCUUUGAGAAAAUUCACUGCUUUUCCAAAGUUUACUUUUAAAUAGGAUUUAGCUUUAACUCUUCACCUCUCAGAGCAGCUCAGCUAAAUAAUCUUUAAUGAUUUUUCUGGAGCCACUAUGUGCUGCUCGAUAGUUUGAAAAUUCAUGGGCACAACAGAUGCUGGGCAGGAUUCUUGUUUAUACUAAGUGUGAACUGUAGUUGAGAAAAAGCAAAUCCGUGUAAAUGUUAGAGACAUUCCCGAUAUCGAUCCCAACAGAUAUUCUUGAAAAGCUGGAUGCUUUUCUGAGUCAGGAUUUUGGUUCAGUCCAUUAAAAACCCACCGGUUGUCCUUGUAAAACUAUGACCUAGAUCUGCAUUUUACUUCAGUUUGAUGCUGCUUUGGAUUAACCUUUAACUCGGAGCCCUACAGCCGCAGUGCCGUACAAACUCCUACCCUCAAAUUCCACCAGCGGGUUGGCUACAGCCUUCCUGAGAGCGCCUCAGCCUCCAGGUAAAUGGGUGCCAACCGCUGUGAGCAGAGCAACAUCGCAGCCCUGAUGUCCUAAUUAGAGGCCCGUCGUUUCCCACAUCGGAGCUCCCUGUGUUAUGAAACAGCCAACCAACAGUGUGAUGCUCAGCUGAAGAUUUCACAAUGCGACUUUCCUUCUCCAGCUGUAUUUUUCCAAACUCACAUUUUCAGAGGCUCUCAUUUCAAUGCGUUUAUUGGAUUGAGAUGUCUCGUAAUUAUUUAUAACAAAAGAGCUCGUCCUUCCAGCCUAUUGUAAAUGGGCAGCGCGCUGAACGCUAAGUUAGCAGCAGCAGGCUGCAGGAGGAGCAGGCUAUUAAGAUGAAUGCAACAAAUCUGAAUUCUUCCAUCCCCACCCUUCAGUAACCCAUCUGUGUGUGUGGCUGGGAAGGAAAAGAAAGGGCUCCUCUUCUCCAGGAUAAUAGCAAACGCUACUAGAGAGGGAAGAGGAAAACCCUGUUUAUCCCUAGCAGGAAGAUAAUUGAUCUCCAGCCCGCACACAACCGGUCUCAGAGCAGCCGGUAGCAGCACAGCAGAGCCUGUAGCGAACCAGAGCCCAACCAGCCUGUCAAACAAAAGCUUUAUAGGGACACCAGGGAGAACAAAAGUAGCACAUUUCGUUCCUUCAUCAUAAAUCUUCCCCUUUAUUGUGCGGAGAUGCUUGGCUGCUGAGCGUGCCGCAUUUCGGCGCGGGGGCCACCCCGCGGGCGGUGCGAGAGCCCCCAGGCCCCCCACAGCCCCCGGGGCUGCGCUCGCCUCUGCCAGCCCCAGCUGGUCCCCGCGUCCUCAGACACCAGCAGCCCUGAGCUCCGGCUCUAUCCCUCUCUCUUUUAUGUCUGCUGAAGGUAAUAAAAUAACCAU